rnacentral:rRNA from 1 species
UACCCGCUGAACUUAAGCAUAUCAAUAAGCGGAGGAAAAGAAACCAACAGGGAUUACCUUAGUAACGGCGAGUGAAGCGGUAAAAGCUCAAAUUUGAAAUCUUCGGAAUUGUAAUUUGUCGGGUAGAAUUUGUUUUUUAAAGAAAGUUCACUGGAAUGUGACGCCACAGAGGGUGAUAGCCCCGUUAACUAAAGAAAACUAUUUAAUUCUAUUCCAAAGAGUCGGGUUGUUUGGGAAUGCAGCUCAAAGUGGGUGGUAAAUUCCAUCUAAAGCUAAAUAUUGGCGAGAGACCGAUAGCGAACAAGUACAGUGAUGGAAAGAUGAAAAGAACUUUGAAAAGAGAGUGAAAUAGUACGUGAAAUUGUUGAAAGGGAAGGGAAAGGGGGAGAUAAUUCAAGUUAAUAUUUUGGUAUGUUACUUGACCACAUC